rnacentral:rRNA from 1 species
AGGAUCUGCUCCUAGUACGAGAGGACCGGAGUGGACGAACCUCUGGUGUUCCGGUUGUCACGCCAGUGGCAUUGCCGGGUAGCUAUGUUCGGAAGAGAUAACCGCUGAAAGCAUCUAAGCGGGAAGCCUACCUCAAGAUGAGUUCUCACUGGAACUUUAAGUUCCCUGAAGGGCCCUAGAAGACGACUAGGUUGAUAGGCUGGGUGUUGAAGCGUAGUAAUAUGUGAAGCUAACCAGUACUAAUUACCCGUGAGGUUUGACUAUAUAACAUCCAAGCA